rnacentral:tRNA from 1 species
AUUUAUAUAGUAUAAAAAGUACAAUUAAUUUCCAAUUAAUAAGUUUAAGAUUAAUAUAAAUA